UUCUUGAAAAUUAAAAAAUUUGGCGGUAUUUUAGUCUUUUCAGAGGAACCUGUCCUGUAAUCGAUAUUCCACGAGUUAAAUUACUUUUUUUAAUAAUUUGUAUAUCGUCGUAGAUUGAAUAUUUUUUGAGAAUAGAAUAUUCAUAAUUUAAAUUUUAAAGGAAAUCAGAUCAAGGUAUAGUUUAUAAAAAAGUAGAGAUGGGUUACAAUAAAUAUAAUUUAAGAUUUUUCAUUGAAAAUUAAGAUGAAUAUGGAUUUGAAAGUAAUUUAAUUUAGAUUAAUUAAAUGAUAUAAGCUCUAAAAUAUGUACAUAUCGCCCGUCGCUUUCACUUUAAGGUGGAAUAAGUCGUAACAAAGUAGAUUUACUGGAAAGUGAAUCUAGAAAGACAAGUUAGAGCUUGAUAAAAGCAUUUUAGUUACAUUAAAAAGUUAAUUGUGAAAUUCAAUUUAACUUGAUUAAAAAAAAUUAUUAAUAAUUUUUUAUGAAAAAAUUUUUUAAAAAAAGUAGUUAAUUAAUUUUAGUAUAAAUAAGAAAAAAUAAUUUUAAUAAUAGAGGAUUAUAGUAUUGUGAAAGAAUUUUUUAAAAAUUUUAAAAGAAAAAUUAAUAAUUUGUACCUUGUGUAUCAGGGUUGAUUAAAUUUAAAAAUUAUUUUGUUUUCUCGAAUUUAAAAGAGCUAAUUUAUUAUUAUUUUAUUGUUGAAUAAAUAUUUUUAAUAAUAAAUUUGUAAUGAAACGUUAUUCGUUUUUAAAUUUAUCUAGUUAUUUAAGAAAAAAAUUUAAUUUUAUUAUUAUUAAUAAUAAAUUUUAUUUUUAAUAAAUUAUUAAUAAUAUUUUAUAAGUAAGGGGAUGAGCUUUUAUUUAGAAUUUUAAAAAUUUUUAAAAAAAUAAUAUUUAUAGGAUUUAAAAUGUUCAUAGUUAGAAUUUUGUUAUAAUUGAUUUUAAUUAAAAAAUAUUUUUUAUAAAUUUUGAGUUUUUUAUUAAAUUAUUAAUUUUAAUAAAUAAAAUUGAGAAAUAAUGAUUAAAUUAGUAGUGAAAUUUGUAAAUUGUAAAUUGAGAUUAAGGUUAAAUAAAGGAAUUCGGCAAAUAGAAUUUUCACCUGUUUAUUAAAAACAUGGCUUUUUGAUAAUAAUUUAAGGUCUGGCCUGCCCACUGAGUAUUUAAAGGGCCGCGGUAUUUUGACCGUGCAAAGGUAGCAUAAUCAUUAGUUUUUUAAUUGAAAGCUGGAAUGAAUGGUCGGAUGAAAAAGAAGCUGUCUCUAUUUAAUUUUUAAUGAAUUUUAUUUUUAAGUAAAAAAGCUUAAAUAAAUUUGAAAGACGAGAAGACCCUAUAGAGUUUUAUAAUUUUUUAAUUUUGAAGUUUUAGAAUUUUA
rnacentral:rRNA from 1 species